UGGCAAAACAAAGCUCUCCUAAGAUCCGUAAAUAGUUAGGAGAGAGGCUGAGGGGGUGGGGCUAUUCUCUGGUUUGGUUAGCUGACCAAUGAACUCUCUGCUGAGACAGCUGGCACCUGGCCGAGGUGAAGACCAGAAGCUCUGAAACAAAGGAGAAAAGGAGACAGGGCACCAGAAGCAAAGCCACGAGAGAAGAAGCAACAGGGAAGAUUGUACCGGGCGCAGGGGGCCGCCUGGUACUGGAGGUGUGAGCUGAAAGAGACAGAUAAAGCCAACAUACGUAGGAGAUCUGAAAACCACAGGAAAUUUCAUAGCCGCCGUCUUUCCACCUGGCAGACUGAUCAUUCAGGUUCCCACCGUGGUUACCUCAGCCUGAGGCAACACCAUGCAAAUGAUGGGCUGUGCACAUCUGGAUGCUUUGUACAUUCAGAGCCCUCUGUUAGGCUCUUUGCUGCCCGUUAGCACCACGGCUCCAGGAUGCCCAUGCCUUGGUGGUUUUCCCUCACCUCUCUAAGCGUAGCAGCUGAUGUCCUCCCUUCUUCCCUCCCUUCCUUCCUUUCUUCCAUACAAUCGCUUAGCCAACAUUGUUGUCUAUCAUGAGCCACUUGCACCUUACCGUGGAUGUAGGGCUCUGUGAAUUGCUAAAGGAAAGGGAGAUCUGGGGACAGAGAUGACAGCCCAUGUCGAGGGGAAUGCCCACCCACUCGCCAAAUAUAUGCAACACUAAGCCGCCAAUUAUGGGGACCGGGACGAAUUUUGGUAGCUAUAUUAAAAUCUGCGAGGGGUCCAUUACAUGCACUCACUCUAUCAGGCUGGUUUGUGGGAGGUGCUGUACAUUUUAUAUCUAUGAGCACAUUCAGUCGCUAGAAAAUUAAUUAUUCUGUUACAAGUGAGAAGGUAAUCGGAGCUGAGGGAAGUUUGCAAUCAGAAUUACUUUUUAGUGAGUCAGUAGGAGUCCGAUGGGGGUGAAAGAAACAACAGGUUGCAAUGUUCAGCUCUUCUACAAUCUGAGGAUGUGCUGCAGACAGUUAACGGUCACUAACCCUCAUUAUUCCAUUCGUUCAUUCAGGAAGUAUUCGCCGGGGUGUUUCUUCUGCGUCAGGGCACAGUAUAUGCAUCACAGGUACCAAGAUGCUUUUCCUAUCGUGAGGAGUUAAUGACGGGAACACUAAGCGUUUACAGAUGCUGAAAACUGAGGUCCCAGCAUCAGAGAAAACAUGAGAAGCCACACAACGAGGGAAGAGCUGCCAGUGUGUGUGUUUGUGAGUCCCUGGAUUGUAGUCCAGGCUAUUAGACUUUUAACCCUGAACUUAGUAUACAUUUCAGUAAUUAAAGAGCAAGUCACGUC